AUUUCUUCUAGCUCCUAUGGUGAACUGAUGGGACUAAAAUUCAUGGUGCUUCCUGACUCCAACCUCACCCACUGCCACUGCCUACCACCAUCAAUACUGUCAUCUCAGGGUACACACAUCAAUCAGGCAGGUGAAAUGAUGAAGUUUUAUGAAGGCUGUAAAACGAGCUCAAGACCACAAUGAAAAUAAGUGUGAGCACUUUGAUUAAAACUGAAGACUUCUUAAUUUCAAAGCCCUAUGCUACCUACUAUAUAUGCAUAUUCUGGAAAGAGGACAAGAAAAAUAAGUCAUUUUUAAAUGGCUCCCCACACAUCAACCACUGCAGUCUGAGCCCCAGCUGCCACCUUCGGUGUCUCCACCUUUCUCUUUGCCAGCCACACAUGCCCACAUGUCUCAGCUGUCUUCAACACACACACUGCCUUCCACAGAAGAACCACAGCCCUGCACUGCAAUAAGAAUGAGUAUGUGUGUGCUACUGUGCAUAGUCUGUGAGCUGACACUCUCCAUCCAGAUGCAUUUUCAGCAACCACAGAAUAUUGAAAGCAGAAUCCUGCUGACUAAAGCACAACCAUGUGAGCUACACAAAAUAGGAAGGUGAAAUCAUAAUGAAUCAUCAAGAUGGACAAUAAACAGAAAUAGGCACUGGGGCAUCACUAUU